GCGAAUAUUUUUGGUGAGAUAUAGCACCGAAUGUGAACGGGUAGCCAUAUAACCUGCCAGGAGGAUUAUUGCAGCGUGUUUGUGCAGUUCUAGCCGGUAAGAGUGUUCGAGUAAUGUAUAUAGUUUGUUUGCUGUUAUAAAUUUCCGGUUUCAGUUGUAUUUUAGGUUAGGUUUUUGUAAAUAUAAAUUACUUUCAGUGCGUAAGGGGCUUGGAGACGAGGUUUUGAUGUAUGGGCCUACUGAGGGUCGUUUGACGAGGUCUGAGGCUUAUUGACGUUUAUGCAUGGAGGGCCACGUGCGUCUUAUCCAAGGUCAACACCGUUAAGGGCGUGGUAGGAUAACCGGAGCGGGAGGCUAAGACCCGGGGCUCUGCGAGUUAGGAACUACUAUUUUGUGGACCACGGAACUUGGUGUGACGUUGACGUUACCUGUAUGGCAAGAGCGCCGUGGUGCAUUUUCUAGGACACGUGUCGCUGACCUGAUUUGUGAACCAGAACUUUGAGUAACUUUCAGUAGUAAAUAACAGAACUCGUUUACAUUUUAAAAGAUAUUAUUGUUAUUUGAAGUUAAUUGAGCUUUUUCGAAAUAUUAAUUGAAAAGACUGAAUUAAGUUGGUGAAUUUUACCUGUUUGAUUUAGAAUCUGAUAAUUAUUGACUCAGCAUUGUAGCAUGUAAUAUUCAACUUUAUUAUUAUGUAAAGUAUCAGAAGUGGUUUAAGCUGAGUUAACUGUUCAUAUUUAUUUUCAUUUCCGGUGUGUGAGCUGGUAUGUGAGCGUGAGUGAGAGUAAUUGAAUAUAAUUUUUUUUUUAUUUCUGUUAAUGAACUUAUUUGUUGUUUC